rnacentral:lncRNA from 1 species
CACAAAGCCUGUGGGAGUAACCAACCAAUAUUUGAUUUGAUUUAAAGCAUGUACUCUGUGAGAUAAAACCCAGACUUGGCACUGUGUGGGUGGAUAAGAACCAGAGAUUAGAUUGGUCAUGGACCUAGAAGAAACCAAAUACUACUUUUCUGCUAAAAGAAUGUAGCAAUAAAAUGACUCCUAAUGGCAUUCUGCUAUACUCAUAGAUCAGUGCCUUGCUCAGCCAUCAUCAGAGAAGCUUCCUCCUGGAGCAGAUGGGAAAAAAUACCGAGAUCCACAGCCAGAAAAUAUGCAGAGAGAGACCUCAAAAGCACUAAAUGGGAUGUCUCCAUCAAUUCUUUCCCCUCAUGGCUCAGGAAACUGUGAAAGAGGAGGGUUUCUCUGUUGAUUUGGAGCCUGUCCUGGAACUUGCUCUGUAGACCAUGCUGGCCUUGAACUCACAGAGAAUUGCUGGACUCUGUCUCCCAAGUGCUGAGAUUAAAGGCAUGCGCCACCACCACCUGGCUUAUUUUAAUUCUCGAUUAGUAAGAGUAGAUUAAAAUAUUUUC